rnacentral:rRNA from 1 species
AUUGAACGCUGGCGGAAUGCUUUACACAUGCAAGUCGAACGGUAGAGGGGGCAACCCCUUGAGAGUGGCGAACGGGUGAGUAAUAUAUCGGAACGUGCCCAGUCGUGGGGAUAACGUAGCGAAAGCUACGCUAAUACCGCAUACGAUCUAUGGAUGAAAGCGGGGGAUCGCAAGACCUCGCGCGAUUGGAGCGGCCGAUAUCAGAUUAGGUAGUUGGUGAGGUAAAGGCUCACCAAGCCGACGAUCUGUAGCUGGUCUGAGAGGACGACCAGCCACACUGGGACUGAGACACGGACCAGACUCCUACGGGAGGCAGCAGUGAGGAAUAUUGGACAAUGGGCGCAAGCCUGAUCCAGCCAUGCCGCGUGCAGGAUGACGGUCCUAUGGAUUGUAAACUGCUUUUAUACAGGAAGAACACUACUUACGUGAAGUAGCUUGACGGUACUGUAAGAAUAAGG